AGAAUAACUUAUAAAAAAAUGGAAUGUAGUUCGCGUCAUAAAAGACGGCUUUUAAAAGCUGAAAAAGAAGAUUUUGUCAAAAGACUAUUUAGUUCAAGUGUUGAGUGUGAACAAAUUGAAGUAGAAAAAAAUGCCGAAGCAGAUUCAGAUUCAAUAGUUGAAAUAGAAGGGACAGAAAAUGAUUAUUACAAUGCAAAUGAAGAAUUUGACAAAAGAAACAACUUUAUAAGUGCUUUAGGGCAAUGGCAGUUAAAAAGCCGGACAUCCAACCAGAACAUGAGAGAACUGCUAAUAAUUUUAAAAAAUUAUGGUUUGGAUGUGCCUCUCUCUCCAAUGACACUGGUGCAAAAAGUUAGUUCGAGGGCAGAUAUAAUUUCUGUUCCUCCUGGUGAAUAUGCACAUUUCGGCCUGAAACAAAAUUUAAUGAAAGCAGCACAAAUUUUACAAAAAUAUGAGGAAAUAAUUUGCGAUAUUAAUAUUGAUGGUUUACCCAUCUUUAAAAGCUCAAAUCUUCAACUUUGGCCAAUAUUAAUUAAAGUUAUUAAUAUUAGAAAUAUAAAGGUGUUUCCUGUUGGUAUUUAUAAGGGCAAACAGAAACCUCAUGAUAUAAGUCAGUUCCUAGAAAAACUCGUUGAAGAAAUUUGCGAUUUACAGGAAAAUCACUUGUUUAUUGGUGGCAAAAAAAUUAGUUUUAAAAUAAGAGCUGUGAUUUGUGAUGCUCCCGCAAAAUCAUUCAUUUGUGGGAUAGCUCACCAUUCAUCUGCAAAUGGUUGUUCAAAAUGUACCCAAGUGGCCAAAAAAAUAUGCAAUGUUUUAACUUAUAGUUCAGAAGUAGGUACAAUUAUAGACGAUGACGACUUUGCUAAAAGGAAAUAUAAAAAUCAUCACCAAUUAAAAUUUAUUGAAACCAAAACACCAUUGGAGAAAAUAAAUUUAAAUAUGAUAAGUCAAGUUCCUUUAGACCCAAUGCACGUUAUUGAUUUAGGGGUAACUAGGAAAAUGUUGAUGAAACUAGUAAAAAAUAAAGUGAAUGAAAAAAUUUCAAUUUCGAAUAAGGGAAAUAUAUCUAAAUUACUAGUUUCAUUAAAAAAGUGUAUUACUAAAGACUUCACAAGAAUGCCUCGUAGUUUGGAUGAACUUGCGAACUGGAAAGCUACAGAAUUUCGUCAAUUCUUACUAUACACUGGUGUUUUAGUCUUAAAAAACAAUGUUGGUGAUGAUUUUUAUUACACGUUUUUAGUCUUUCAUUGUGCUAUAAGGCUUUUGUCAUGUCCAAAAAACUUUGAAAAUAACAUUGCUGCCGCCGAAGAUUUGUUGAAACUCUUUGUUGAAAAUUUCAGUGUCGUUUUUGGUCCUCAAAACGUUACCUAUAAUGUGCACAGUUUGCUUCAUAUAUGUGAAUGCGUCAAACAGCACGGUUUGCUGUACAGCUUUUCAGCAUAUGAUUUUGAGAACCAUUUGCAAAUGAUAAAAAAAGAUGUUCGCAAACCGACUGAUAUUCUAAAUCAAUUACACAGAAGAAAUGUCUUGCAAAAUUUAAUAGAAGAGCCAAAAACAUUGGGGUUAAAAGAAAAAAAUGGACUUAUUUAUGGUUACUUGGGUGAUGAAUACUGGUUGAGCAUUAAAACACCAGAUAACAUUUGUCUUGUAAUGCCAUUUACCCCGUUAAAAAUUACAGGCUUCAAACGAGGAGAGAAUAAUAAAAUUUUUUUUAAAGCGAGACGUUUCAAAAAUAUUUGUCCUUUUUUUGAAGAGCCAUUGGACUCAUUAUCAGCAUUAGGUAUAUGUAUUGCUGAUAAGAUAUUAGAAGAUAGUGAGGAAAUAUUUAAUAUUGAAAAUAUUAAUUGCAAACUAAUAUCAUUGCCCUUUGAAAAUAAAGUGGUUUUAAUGCCAAUUCUUCAUAGUUGCAUUUAAAGUUGCAAAAAUUAACGUCUCAUUUAUUUAAUAUAGCCAACACUUUUAAUCUACGCAAUUCUAACUGAUAUCUUCGCAAUUCGACAAUAUUUAAAAUGGAGGGCAGAAAUCUUAAACAUCUAAAUACUUGCAACAGACUUUCUAAUUAUAGUGCCAAAGAAACGCCAUGCUGUUCUUGCAUAGAACUCAAAGAAAUGAUGGCUGGGAUGAUGACUGAACAAAAAAAAUUACAGGAACAGCUCUCAAAAUUACAAACAACAACAGAACAGCAAAACAAAAUAAUAGUGGAAAUGUUAGCAGAGCACAAAUUACAGCUGCAAACCCUCAAUAAGUCCCAGAAAAAUGUUACUUCCCUGUCAAGCAAAUUUCCCCUCAAAUCCGAAGAAGAUCUCCAAAAAGUUGAGAGUGAAAUAUGCGAUUCGAAUGAAGAAAAAUAUAUAUCUGCUGUAAAGUAUUUAAUCGAUGGCAGCGCAAUAAAAAAUUUGGAACGCAUUUUUUCCCGGGAGAUUUGCGUAAUGUACAAUACGGAUGGUAUUUGUGGGAAAAAAUGUUUGAAGAAUUUUAAAAGAAUAUAUAAAAUUGUUAUUGGUAACUGCAAUAAGUGACUAUUCCCCCAAUAGCGAAAAAGAAUUUCGAGCAGCACUCCAAGUCGUAAAAAAAAGGCACUUCCGAGUUGUUUGUUCCCAAAACAAAAACAAAAAUUAAUUAUAUAAUUUGUUAAUUACAUGUAAUUUUUAAUUUUUUUAAUGACAGUGAAUUGGAAUAUUACUUAAGUUUUUUUAAUGAAUUUAUUAUUACUUAUAUUAUUUAUCUCACUAAAGACUAUCAAUGUACCUGCAGAAUGAAAUAUUUAUUUUUAUGUUUUAUAGAAUAAAACACUAAUACUUAUAGUACAUUA